rnacentral:rRNA from 1 species
UGGGGAAUAUUGGGCAAUGGGCGAAAGCCUGACCCAGCGACGCCGCGUGGGUGAUGAAGGCCUUCGGGUCGUAAAGCCCUGUCAGGAGGAAAGAACGAUCUUGUGGUAAACACCCACGAGAUGUGACGGUACCUCCGAAGGAAGCACCGGCCAAUUCCGUGCCAGCAGCCGCGGUAAGACGGAAGGUGCAAGCGUUGCUCGGAAUCACUGGGCGUAAAGGGUGCGUAGGCGGCUUCUUAAGUCUGGUGUGAAAGCCCAGGGCUCAGCUCUGGAAGUGCACUAGAUACUGGGGAGCUUGAGUACCGGAGGGGAGAGUGGAAUUCCUGGUGUAGCGGUGAAAUGCGUAGAUAUCAGGAGGAAUACCGGUGGCGAAAGCGACUCUCUGGACGGUUACUGACGCUGAGGCACGAAAGCGUGGGGAGCAAACAGGAUUAGAUACCCUAGUAGUCCCUGAGCGGGCUGGCAAGGCGCAU